rnacentral:rRNA from 1 species
GAUGAACGCUGGCGGCGUGCUUAACACAUGCAAGUCGAACGAUGAAGCCCAGCUUGCUGGGUGGAUUAGUGGCGAACGGGUGAGUAACACGUGAGCAACCUGCCCCUGACUCUGGGAUAAGCGCUGGAAACGGCGUCUAAUACUGGAUACGAGUAGCGAUCGCAUGGUCAGUUACUGGAAAGAUUUUUUGGUUGGGGAUGGGCUCGCGGCCCAUCAGCUUGUUGGUGAGGUAAUGGCUCACCAAGGCGUCGACGGGUAGCCGGCCUGAGAGGGUGACCGGCCACACUGGGACUGAGACACGGCCCAGACUCCUACGGGAGGCAGCAGUGGGGAAUAUUGCACAAUGGGCGGAAGCCUGAUGCAGCAACGCCGCGUGAGGGAUGACGGCCUUCGGGUUGUAAACCUCUUUCAGCAGGGAAGAAGCGAGAGUGACGGUACCUGCAGAAAAAGCGCCGGCUAACUACGUGCCAGCAGCCGCAGUAAGAC